UACAUACUGCACCUUUAAAUAUUUUAUUUCAUUCUAUUUUUGUGUGUGGUGUGUGCUGAACGGUGCUGCUGUGGCACUUAACUUUCCCUCAAGAUUAUUAAUGUAAUUCUUAUUUCAUUGUUUUACAUAAAGUAGAGGAAUAAAAAGGUACUUCCGGGGCGGGAUUUAAUUUUGAUCGACAGGUCUCCCGCUCAAUCGUCGGACUCCUUCCGUUGGCUCGUAGUAGCAGAGCGAAAAUGGCGUAGAGCGGAGGGUGUACGGAGAAAGGGACGAGGGGAGCUUCUUCCCUGUCCUCCCCUCUCCGGGGUGCAGGGAGGGAGGAAAAGGGGGCGCUGGAGAUUCUUUAAAUGUGUCCUCAAACCUAUGGGGUCCCCCUCUCACGAAAUAAACCCGGCAACCGAGCAGUUUGGGAGACGUAAAUGUGUCACCGUAGAGAGAAAAGAAGAAACCCUCCUGGCUUUUGUUUACCAUUGUGUGCAGCUGCAGCUCAAACCACUGAGGAAAUAUCUCUGCAUCAUUUCGGACCACCGUCCACCAAGGAUGGAUUUUCCAGGCUGGAGGGAUGUCUACUAUAGAUAUCAGACUCAGCACCAAUGACGGAUCACUUCCACCUCCACCCAGACCCGUGGUGGUACAGAAUGAGGUGUGAAGAUGACCUCUUUUGGGACAAGGGGUGCCCUCCUUGCUGCUGUUUGCUGGGACGUUGGCCGUCUCUCCGCCACAGCAUCCCCUCCUGUCCUGGCCCGUCUCUGCAGCCUCAGAUCAUCAGUGAGGACAUCUGCCAAGGUUUUGGGCUAGUCUGACUUUCAUGACGCACGCUCUGACUACGUCUACAUGUAGCUACACAGUGGCUUUGCAGCCUUUAAGUUGGCUGAAAAAGCCAUGGAGCAUCUGCACUGGCCUUAUUUGCCUAAAAGUCUCCAUGAUGUGGACAUUUUCAGUCAGAUUUGGGUGAGAUUCUUGUCAGGCUUCAUGCAAACAUAGUUACUGAUGCUUCCUGAAUCAGUACAAAAAAAAAUCCCCACACACACUGUAAUUAGAUCAAAGCAGUUUCUUAACAAAUUCUUAACUGCUCCCGUUUUCUUGGAGUAAAGUAAAGACACAAGAUACUGUAGCAAAGAUCAAGGCCUGUGAUUAAAUUAGACUCAUAGGGUGUUUUUGUUCGUUUUUUUGCACUACCUCAUUGCCAUAACAAGUCCAACAGGAGUGAAAGGGAGUGUGAUCAGUACAAGUAGCCUAAUGGUUGUCAAGCGCCACAGCAGUUAUAUCAUUAUAUCGUAGAGGGAAAGACAGAGCAGCCCACAAAACAAGCACAGUUAUUUACUUUCAGUUCAGGAAAAAAAAAACACCGUCUCGCUGAAACUGUGGUCUCCUACGCAUCUGUUCUGGGGAAGAUUGUAUUUUUUAAUCAGUGCUCUCCUUUUUGUUUUUCUCCCUCCAUUGUGCUCUCUUUUGUCAAGUCCACAGGUUUAUUCACACGACUUAAUCUUUGAGAUUGCUUCAAUUCGGCAAUUUGCAGUGAUCUAAUUUAGUCUUUUCCCCCCUCGAGAUGCUCUUGUUUUGUCUUUUAUUCCCACAAUGAAGUGAUUUUUACCGCCUUGGCUUACUCUUCAUUGUGUCUUUGUCUUCUCUUUCUCCUUAACACACUUCUUUUUUUUUUUUGCCUUCCCUCUCUGGAUGUGUUCUGAUUUUGUCCUUUUUUAGACUUUGACAUGCUCUCAUUUUGUUCUUUUUUUUUCCAACUCAAUGUGAGCUCUCUUUAGUCUCAUUGUUUUCUAACCAUAUGAGUGACACAAGAACAUUCUUCACAAACUGCAAGUAGUGACAGAACUGACCAUUUGGUUCCUUUAGUGCCACGAACCAUGAAACAAACGAUCCAAAAACAACAAAAAAAAAGAGAAUUUGGUUUGUCAAACAUCAUGUUUUGUCUCUACCUGCUGUUUCUAGCUGUCCAGUUAGUUGAGAGAUACAAGUGCUGAAAUUGCAGCUUUAUUUCCAAUGAUUGAAAACUAUUAUCACCUUGAAUUUGACCUUACUUGAAGGGAAACCCUGGUCUCAUUUAUUCAGCUUUCUUUUAGUCCAUUUUUACAUGAUUUAUAUAAAAGAAAAAUCACAUUUUUCCGGGAUUUGUGCAAUAUUUGAUCUUAACUGUCAUGUUGUUGACCAAACUGUAUAUUGUAUAAACAAGUGACAAGUUGUUUGAAAGCAACAAAAUCACCAAUGUCUUCCAUUAAGAUAUAUAUAGACUCAUGUGCAUUAGCUUAUUUAGCGGGACUGUGGUGCCAACAUUAUAGUUGCCAUGCAUGACCAGUAGUGAUGCUUGCUUCAUGAAGAAUAGUGAAAUUGAUUUCUAGACUAAGCUGGAGCUCAAAACUGUGGAAAACAUUUCAGGCGAAUGGAAAAAGGGCGAUAGAUCGAUGUACAAUUAAAAUACACCACAUCAAGAUAGAAAUUUUAGACAAUCUCCCCUUUGUUCCAUGUCUCAGAUGUAGAAUAAGUUGCAUGAUUAAAAUCCAAUUAACACAAUCAGGGUAUAAAAUUAUAAAGUAUUGAUUUAAGCCGUUUCACAUAGGCCUAUAUGCUUCAUAUAAGUAAGUGCUUUCUCACAGAACUGCUGCUCUUAGGGAAAAAAUGCUAGCGAUGUUCAAAAUUGUAUUCAUGCACUCUAAAGCAUCAAAAGAAUUAGAUAGUUAUUAUGUGACAACCAAAAAAGCUCCCCAAAAUGGACAAUGGUGGAAAUAUUUGAAAAAUGUCACAUUAAGAGUAGUACUUAAAUUCUAGAUUUGGAUCUGAUUGAUGGCGAUCCAACGUAGCGUUUUAGUCCUAGAAUUAAGAUCUCACCAUGACCAUGUAUUGUACAUAAUACCUCAUAGUUUUGGGAUUCAGAGCGUUAUAUUUUAAUCCAUAAAAUUGUAUUUGAUUAGAGUUUUAGAAGCAAUAACCGACAAUAAUGCAUGAGUUUUAGUGCCAGGGUGUAAGUGUUAAACAGAUUCUGUAAUCUCUUGUGGAAAGGAUCCCCCUUCCUCUCUUUUAUGCCUACGGUAGCUAUCUAUUAGUCACUUUUUUUGGGAGUUGUAUAAUAUUUGGCUUUAGAAUACAGUAUCACUUAUUAUUAUGAAGAUUUGGGUUACUUCCUGCAGAACAAGGUAUGCGUGAGGACAGCUGUAGCAUCAUGGUGUUAUUACAUUUACAAAUUAAAAGUAAAUACUUAUAUAUUUUUCACAGACUAACUUCCCUGCCUUGUAUUCUUUCAGCACCAAAACAAUAAUCUAAACCAAUCGGUACAGGAGAGAUGCUUUAUAGUACAUAAAAUAAUAAAAUUACGAUUCUUGUAGCAUUUUUAAAUCUAUAAAACCCUCCCCCUCCUUUAGAAAUAUAGACUUUCAGUAACUCUGUGGCUGCAAAGGACUUACUGAACGAACUUGUUUGAAAAGCACUUUCUCUCUAUGUACUGACUUGCACCGUCAUCAUCACCAUCCUGUCUUGAAUACUGUGUUCUAAAAAAAAAAAAAAACCCUGUAAUGCUCUUUGUGGGGAUUUACAAUCACAAUUAAUGAGCAAGUAGGCGUUUAGCAACAUGAUUAAAUGGGUUUAAAAAAUAUGCAUGAAUUAGCAGAAAAAUGAAUGAUUUGUAUUGCAUGCAAUAAUCUAACUUUGUAAUGUGAAUGAGUGUAAUUAGGAUGUUGAAAUGUUCAUAUCAGAUGUUCUGUGACAAGGUUGGGAACGGUUGUUUGUUUGACACAACAGCAAGCAUGUUGAAGUAGCUUUGAUUUGAGUUUGGAUUAUACGGACUAACUGCUAGUCAUGAUACAAACCACCCCCC